GACGAACCGGGACAAACGUUAUUCGGAAUUACUGGGCUUAAAGGGUUUGUAGGCGGCCUUGUAAGUCAGGUGUGAAAUCCCUCGGCUCAACCGAGGAAUAGCGCUUGAUACUGCAAGGCUUGAGGGAGACAGGGGUAAGCGGAACUGAUGGUGGAGCGGUGAAAUGCGUUGAUAUCAUCAGGAACACCGGGUGGCGAAAGCGGCUUACUGGGUCUCUUCUGACGCUGAGGAACGAAAGGCUAGGGGAGCGAACGGG
rnacentral:rRNA from 1 species